UGUCCAACCCCAACCGUCCGAACUCUUCUCCAUCUCUCCUCUGCAAACGUCGACACCGUCAACAGGAGAGAGCUUCAAGCUCUGUACAAGAAGAACAAAAUCCCCGCUAAUCGAACCAACAUUGCCAUGGCUGAUGCUCUCUAAGCUCUUUUUCCACUGGUUGAAGGGUUAGAGUAGUUUUUGAGUCAACCCAGAUCUGAUGAUGCUCAGGUUGAUGAAGAUUCGGUUCUUUUGUCACCAGAUCCCAAAACUUCUUGCCGAACUUCUACAAGAACCCGAAAACCAGUAUUGCCAUUACCUGAAACCUUGCAGCCAAGGACUCGAACUCGUCGGGGAACCGUUGCUACUCCUACAACUAGGAGUAUUGUGGUUCGAUUUUCGGAUUGGGGUUCAGUUUUGCUCGUGAAGGUGAUAAUGGUGGUUAUUUUAUUUAUGGAAAAAAAAGGAAGAAGAAGAAGAAGAAAAUAUUAAUUAUUUUUUAAAUUAUUUUUUAAUUAUUUUUUUUCCUUUUUAUUUAAUUAUUUUAAACUAUUUUUUUAAUAUAUAAAUUAUUUAAAAAAAUCUAAUUUUUUAUUUUUUUUAAAUAUUUAUAAUUAUUUUUUUAAAACUAAUAUUAUGUGGACCACUAAAAAUUUGCCACGUGUACAAGGGUGUACAUGUGGACAGUCCACCGUGGCACUUAACAGUGAUUUUUGGACGGAAGUGUACAGAGCAAAACGAAACUAGGAUUUAGAUAGUUAUGCCGUCAAAAUUUCAAUUUUGGUGGUUAAGUGUUACAAACCGUAAAAUUCAGGUAGUUUAGCCGCCAAUAUCGUUUUUGUAAAACAAAAGUUUCUUUUUUUAGUAAAAAGUUGGUGGGUGAUUUUUGAAAUCACGUGAGUUAUGCAUUUUAAUUCCAAGAAUCCUUACUCAAACUUCUGAAUAAUUGAAAAUGAAUCAAAAUCGAAAAUAAAAUAUGGCCAUUAAAAUGAAAAAAAGAAAUUUAAAAAAUUAAAUAAAAGAAAAGAAAACACUUUAUCCGCAACUCUUCAUCAACCCUUAUACAAUUCAGAUGAGAUGAUCAGGGAAGUUCAUGUUAGUAUAAUUAAUUUUGUAUCACCAAUAGAAAAUUAUACCAUAAAAGAGUGAGGCCUCUCACAAUUUAAAGAAGGCCAAAAAAAAAAAGUUGAUUUAAGUAUUUGUUUGCUGACUCUCUAGGUCUACUCAU